UAGGGAAUCUUCGGCAAUGGACGAAAGUCUGACCGAGCAACGCCGCGUGAGUGAAGAAGGUUUUCGGAUCGUAAAACUCUGUUGUUAGAGAAGAACAAGGACGUUAGUAACUGAACGUCCCCUGACGGUAUCUAACCAGAAAGCCACGGCUAACUACGUGCCUGCAGCCGCGGUAAUACGUAGGUGGCAAGCGUUGUCCGGAUUUAUUGGGCGUAAAGCGAGCGCAGGCGGUUUCUUAAGUCUGAUGUGAAAGCCCCCGGCUCAACCGGGGAGGGUCAUUGGAAACUGGGAGACUUGAGUGCAGAAGAGGAGAGUGGAAUUCCAUGUGUAGCGGUGAAAUGCGUAGAUAUAUGGAGGAACACCAGUGGCGAAGGCGGCUCUCUGGUCUGUAACUGACGCUGAGGCUCGAAAGCGUGGGGAGCAAACAGG
rnacentral:rRNA from 2 species